AACGAAGAGGUAUCGUAAUUGAAGAGGUUUGGAAAGACCCACCACAGAAGGUAAUAGUCCUGUAUGUUAAACGAGAAGACUUUAGAUAUGAUCCAGAGUACCACGGGACACGUGAAACCCUGUGGGAAGCAGGAGGGACCACCCUCCAAGGCUAAAUACUACCUAGUGACCGAUAGCGUAUAGUACCGUGAGGGAAAGGUGAAAAGAACCCCGGGAGGGGAGUGAAAUAGAACCUGAAACCCUGCACUUACAAGCUGUGGAAGCACAUUUCUUGUGUGACCGCGUACUUUUUGUAGAACGGGCCAACGAGUUACGUUAAGUAGCAAGGUUAAGCACUUAAGGUGUGGAGCCGUAGCGAAAGCGAGUUUUAACUGAGCGUUCAGUUACUUGACGUAGACCCGAAACCGGGCGACCUACCCAUGAGCAGGAUGAAGCGAAAGUAAAAUUUCGUGGAGGUCCGAACCCACGAGCGUUGAAAAGCUCGGGGAUGACUUGUGGGUAGCGGUGAAAUUCCAAUCGAGCCCGGAGAUAGCUGGUUCUCCCCGAAAUAGCUUUAGGGCUAGCCUCAAGGUGAGAGAUACGGAGGUAGAGCACUGAAUGUCCUAGGGGGUAUUGCACCUACCGAAGACUAUCAAACUCCGAAUGCCGUCAUCUUAUACUUGGGAGUCAGACUGUGGGUGAUAAGAUUCAUAGUCGAAAGGGCAACAGCCCAGAUCGUCAGCUAAGGUCCCUAAAUGUAAGUUAAGUGGUAAAGGAUGUGGGAUUGCACAGACAACCAGGAUGUUGGCUUAGAAGCAGCCACUCAUUCAAAGAGUGCGUAAUAGCUCACUGGUCGAGUGAUCCUGCGCCGAAGAUUUCCGGGGCUAAAACUUACUACCGAAGCUACGGCAUCAUUAUGAUGGGUAGGGGAGCUUCCCAUACGGGUUGAAGCAUGACCGUAAGGACAUGUGGACAGUAUGGGAGUGAGAAUGUUGGCAUGAGUAGCGAGAUGUGGGUGAGAAUCCCACAGGCCGUAAACCCAAGGUUUCCAGGGGAAGGUUCGUCCGCCCUGGGUUAGUCGGGACCUAAGCUGAGGCCGAAAGGCGUAGGUGAUGGACAACAGGUUGAUAUUCCUGUACUACCGAUAACCGUUUGAGAGAUGGGAUGACACAGUAGGAUAAGCUAAGCACACUGUUGGUUAUGUGUGCCCAAGCAUUGAGGCAGUCAGAGUAGGUAAAUCCGCUUUGAUAAUGCUGGGAUGUGAUGGGGAGCGAAAUUUAGUAGCGAAGUAGCUGAUUUCACACUGUCAAGAAAAGUCUCUAUCGAGGUUAAAGGUACCCGUACCGCAAACCGACACAGGUGGGUGAGGAGAGUAUCCUAAGGCCCGCGAGAGAACUGUUGUUAAGGAACUCGGCAAAAUGACCCCGUAACUUAGGGAUAAGGGGUGCCACCAUCCGGUGGCCGCAGAGAAUAGGCCCAAGCGACUGUUUACCAAAAACAUAGGUUUCUGCUAAGUCGCAAGACGAUGUAUAGGAGCUGACGCCUGCCCGGUGCUGGAAGGUUAAGGGGAUCUGUUAGAGCAAUCGAAGCAGUGAACUUAAGCCCCAGUAAACGGCGGCCGUAACUAUAACGGUCCUAAGGUAGCGAAAUUCCUUGUCGGGUAAGUUCCGACCCGCACGAAAGGCGUAACGAUUUGGGCACUGUCUCAACAACAGACUCGGUGAAAUUGUAAUUCCGGUGAAGAUGCCGGAUACCUGCGACAGGACGGAAAGACCCCAUGGAGCUUUACUGUAGCUUGACAUUGGGUCUUGGUACUACAUGUACAGGAUAGGUGGGAGGCUUUGAAACCAGGACGCCAGUUUUGGCGGAGCCAUCCUUGGGAUACCACCCUUGUAGUACUGGGACUCUAACCAUAGGCCAUGAAUCUGGUCUUGGGACACUGUCAGGUGGGCAGUUUGACUGGGGCGGUCGCCUCCCAAAAGGUAACGGAGGCGCUCAAAGGUUCUCUCAGUACGGUCGGAAAUCGUACGUAGAGUGUAAAGGCAAAAGAGAGCUUGAUUGCAA
rnacentral:rRNA from 1 species